rnacentral:rRNA from 1 species
CACGUAGGCGGACUUUCAAGUCAGGGUGAAAUCCCGGAGCUCAACUUCGGAAUUGCCUUUGAUACUGUUGGUCUCGAGUCCGGAAGAGGUGGGUGGAAUUCCUAGUGUAGAGGUGAAAUUCGUAGAUAUUAGGAAGAACACCGGUGGCGAAGGCGGCCCACUGGUCCGGUACUGACGCUGAGGUGCGAAGCGUGGGGAGGCAAAACA